rnacentral:rRNA from 1 species
UACGUAGGGGGCAAGCGUUGUCCGGAUUUAUUGGGCGUAAAGAGCGUGUAGGCGGCCAAGCAGGUCCGCUGUGAAAACUCGAGGCUCAACCUCGAGAGGUCGGUGGAAACCGUUUGGCUAGAGUCCGGAAGAGGAGAGUGGAAUUCCCGGUGUAGCAGUGAAAUGCGUAGAGAUCGGGAGGAACACCAGUGGCGAAGGCGGCUACCUGGACCAGCAUUGACACUCAAGCACGAAAGCGUGGGGAGCAAACAGG